rnacentral:rRNA from 1 species
UACGGGGGGGGCAAGCGUUGUUCGGAAUUACUGGGCGUAAAGGGCUCGUAGGUGGCCAACUAAGUCAGACGUGAAAUCCCUCAGCUUAACUGGGGAACUGCGUCUGAUACUGGAUGGCUUGAGUUUGGGAGAGGGAUGCGGAAUUCCAGGUGUAGCGGUGAAAUGCGUAGAUAUCUGGAGGAACACCGGUGGCGAAAGCGGCGAGCUGGACCACUACUGACGCUGAAGAACGAAAGCUAGGGGAGCAAACAGG